UACGAACCGUGCGAACGUUGUUCGGAAUCACUGGGCUUAAAGGGCGCGUAGGCGGUUGAUCAAGUCUGGGGUGAAAUCUUUCGGCUUAACCGGAAAAGUGCCUUGGAUACUGGUCAGCUGGAGGGAGGUAGGGGCAGUUGGAACUUCCAGUGGAGCGGUGAAAUGCGUAGAUAUCUGGAGGAAUACCGGUGGCGAAGGCGGCAUCCUGGACCGACAUUGACGCUGAGGAGCGAAAGCUAGGGGAGCAAACGGG
rnacentral:rRNA from 1 species